UGCUAACGUUUUCCAGGUGGUUGCUAAGUGGUUGGUAGGCAGUUGCUAACGUUUUCCAGGUGGUUGCUAAGUGGUUGCUAGGCAGUUGCUAACAUUUUCCAGGUGGUUGCUAGGCAGUUGCUAAGUUGUUGCUAGGCAGUUGCUAACUUUUUCCAGGUGGUUGCUAAGUGGUUGCUAGGCAGUUGCUAAUGUUUUCCAGGUGGUUGCUAAGUGGUUGCUAGGCAGUUGCUAACGUAUUCCAGGUGGUUGCUAGGCAGUUGCUAAGUGGUUGCUAGGCAGUUGCUAACGUUUUCCAAGUGGUUGCUAGGCAGUUGCUAAGUGGUUGCUAGGCAGUUGCUAACGUUUUCCAGGUGGUUGCUAGGCAGUUGCUAAGUGGUUGCUAGGCAGUUGCUAAGUGGUUGCUAGGCAGUUGCUAACGUUUUCCAAGUGGUUGCUAGGCAGUUGCUAAGUGGUUGCUAGGCAGU